CAAAAAAAAUCAUCAAUUUUUGUUUGCAAGGCCAUUUUCAGUUGAUGGCCUGCAUAUUUUCAAAUGAAAUGUAUGAAGUUUCAAUCAGAUAUUCAACUCAAAAAUAUGAUGUGACUCUUUAUUGGACUUUCAUAAUCCCUAUCUUGGCAUAGAGAAAAAUAUCCUUCAGUCGCUUCUAUUUGUGUCAUUGCUUUCUGACAGAAGACACAUUUUGAAAAAUUAUUGUCAAGGAUGAAGUACAGGGAGAGUAAAAUUUCAUCAAAAAGGUGACAUCCCAGAUGACUGCUGAGCCUCCUGCCCUGCUGUGCUGUUGUGUUUGGGAGGUGGGGCUUUAUUCUUUUGGGUGGAUGUGUCAGACAUGCUCUCUUAUUCAGAGCUGUUGAUCCCAAAGACAUUCUAGCAAGCUGUGUCUGGCGUAGCAAGCAGUCACUAGGGCUGAGUAGAACACUGCUUUUUAAAAUUGUUUGAAGUUUUGUAUCGAGGACAAGUCUGUCCUUAAACUGUAUGUACAGGAGGAAGAGUUAACUCUUUCUGCUUGAGCCAAGCGUGGAAGCAGAUGCUGGAUUGCUGAGCGUUGGAAAUCAUCUCUUCGUGCCAGGUAUAAUGAGGAUCAUAUGGACAAAAUGUGUAUCUGCCUGAGACAGCUCUGUUUUAGGCAUGCACUGAGCACAAAAGGAGUUUGCUGUCUGCUGGAGGAGCCAGGUCCUCAGCCUAACAGAAGCUGGAUUCAGUCCAAAGUGUCUGGAUGGCAUAUGGUAUUUACUGAAAUAUGGCAUUGCCUGUGUAAGCAACGCACCCUUCUCCUUCACUCUGAAAGCCAUCUGGGCUUCAUGUGUGAGCAGUCAAAAACCAAGAGCAAGAGAGCAUCUGGCUCUGGCAAUGAUACUUCCAUUCUGGUCCCCACCACCUUGGGGUUUCCCUGCUUUUGCAGGUAUGGGAAUCUCAGCCAUGCCCUGGUGUCCUCUUAACAACUGUUUUUUCUUUUUUUUUCUGCAGUGGUUUUAAACAGGGCAGGGUUCCAUGAGGAGUUUGCAUAAGGCUUUACUGCCUGGGUAAGAGGCAGACUGUCUUGUAUGGGCCAGGGGACAAUUAUUAUGCUGGCCAAACCUUUCUCCAUUUCUAGUUGGCAUCUACAGCCUGUAGCUUUGACUCUCCUGAGUUUUAUACCGCCUGGGUCCAAGCUCCUGCAAGUGAGGAAGAGAUAACUGUGUCCUGGCACAAAGAGGCAUUUUAUCCAAAGGGAGCUGAGCACUGCUAGGAGAGGUUUGGGACUGGUUAGGCCUCCCCGUUCUUCAUGUAGCCGAGCCGAGAAGAGAGACUUUGCUCAGCUGCUGUGUUGGAGAGUCAGAAGGGGCCAGGGGAGUGCAGAGAAUUGCCCCCUGCCUUUAAAUAAUGUAAACUUAGCUGUGCUUUUCAUUAGUUACUGGAAUAGGGUUUAGUUAAAGGCGGUGUCCUCUGCUGUUUUUGAGGCAUUGUAACUUCCUUUUACCUGUGUGCACACUCUGUGGGUUUUGUUUCUUAAAGGGAGCAUCAUAUGACAGCCCCAACACCACUGAUCUUUCUGGCAGACUGAUCCCUCUUCCUUCCUGAACUUGAUAAACAGUCCAAGAAUCUGCGUGUGUGUGAGUGCAUGUAUGUCUCUGAAUCCCACAGCUUGCUUCUCUGGUUCUUGGUGUGGUUUUUAUAUCCUUCCGGCAGUGUUUCUGUUGCUGCAGUGCUUCGCCUUCCUAUUUCCCUUCCUGCUGUGGUUUACCUGCUGCUGCUUACUGUGAAGAUGGAGGUGAUACUGCACAACCCAUUUCUGAGAACCUUGACCUGUACUCUCCCAUCUCACGACCCAAUGCAAUCCUGAGGGGUUUCUGAGGUAGUUAAGAGUUUCAGACACCCCUGAAAAGACACUGCAAUGCUUUCUGUAAUCAGCCUUCUCUGAGGGCUAGCAGUUUCUUGCUGGAGUGUGGGUGCUGUUUCAUGUCCCAGUGUGGAUGUGCUAUCUCUGUGUCUGUGCAGAGCACUGUCGCACAUAAGAGCUCUGCUUCGAAGUUGGAUUCUGCCCGAGUGGCACAAUGUGAAUUGUUCCCAGGCUCCAGCUGCCUUUUGCCUAAGUAGGGUAAGUUACAGAGGCACUAAAACAGGCUCUCUUGCUUCCAAGUCCAGCACUUCGUGCUUUUUGUGGCCAAAGGAUCUCAUUCCAGCUAUGUUUCUACUGUUUGAAAAUGGAAGCGCGCCCAGUGUGUAUGCACCCAUCAAGGCUUAGGGACUGGGAGGCUUGGUAGUUGCAUCUCUCCUCUGGGAGAAAAGCUGGUUCUCAUGGGCUGGGACUUCUGAAAGCCACAUGGGGCAGUGCAGUCAUUUAGGCUGAGAGGAAUGCAUCUUCUGCAGUUCUUGAAAUAGUGUGUGUCAUUCUUAUCUCUGGAGAGGAUUACAGUGAGAAGUGAGUUCUCAGAACUAGGCUGGACCAGUCUUGCACUGUCUUCAGCUCUUCCAGCUGAGUCUAUCUCUUUCCUAGAGCACAGCUGGUGCUUGGAGAGCAAUGUGUGUUUGUCUCCAUCUUCCACAUUGUGAGGAAGGUUCCCAUUUCUGUUUUCCUUUUCUCCAUCUGUCAGAGCCUGAGAGAGCACCUCAGCAUUUAUCAGCAGCAUUUAAACAGGUCACUUCAGUGCCCAGGCACCCUUCUCUUCCCCCCAUGUCUCCUUUUUGCUACUUUGGCAGAUUGCCUUGCCUGACUGACUGCAUUUCAAUUCAUCUCAGGUAUUUAAUCUUCUCCCUGGAGAAAGAUAGACUGGAAUGAAGCUUUUGCUGCCCUGAGGUAGGAAUCAAGAGCAUUAGAGUGUUACUUCAUUCAGUUCAAAAACAGCCCUCUAAUAACACAGAGGAGGAUGUGUUGUGCUGCAGUGAAAAGCCAGCUUUGAGAGAUCCUGUAAUCUGUCUUUACCUAGCCUCGUGCUGUUUCUUGUAGAGCUGGAAUCAAAAUAACACUGCAGAUUCUGCAGCUCAGUUGAUAGGAGCCACUUGAACCAGUUCCAUCUGCAUGUUCUGGAGGAAGGCCUUUCUCUCCUCCUUCCCCAUCCUGGUCAAAUGACAUCCAGGGCACUUGGUGUCAAAACUAGGAGUUCUUUUUUUCUAAAUUGAGGUGCUUGGAAUAGGAGCAGCUCUAUGUGAUUUUGUGUGUGUGUGUGUGUGUGUGUGUGUGUCCAAGAGCCUGCUCCGUUUAACUGGGAGGACCUCCUCAGGGAAUGGUGGAAAGAGGUAGUGCUUUCACCUUGCUUGCUACUUUGCUUCCUCCUGAAGUUCAAUACAGCCUUCUCUACUCCUUUGCUUUGAGGAGAAGUGGCCUGCAGCUUUAUUUGCAUGAUAUGGGUGGAGAUGCAAUUAGAGGAAAUGAAGAAGCCUGCACUAACAGCAAUGGUUUCUGUUUGUUACCAACAAUGCUGCGAGACUGGCUUCCUUAAAAAGCAAACACUGACUGGCCAUCUGCCACCCCCUUUGGGCUCUGGCUGUAUGUUCUUGCCUGGAGCAUAGAGCAGAGUCCUUCUCAUUUGCUCACUGCAGGUCCUGAUGCAUGAGAUGAUGGGAAAGAUACGAUGCUCUUCCCCAGAAGUUAAUAUUGGUUGAAGCACAUGUUUAACCGCGGUAGGUCAGGCUCUCCAGGCAUUCUCAGAGCAAGACCCCCUCCUCUUUCCAGAUGGUGAAAUGUCUCUGAAGAGCUCCCACUCUGGAUAGACUUUUUUUUUUUUUUAAACUGCUUGGCCUCUGCCCAAUGGAGCCUGUGUGGCUUUAUGGGAAAGGAUUUUUAGUUGUGCAGUAAUGGUGUUGUGUGCAUUUUAAUGGGUGCACUCAGUGGAUCAUUCAGCUAGGGAUGGAACUGCACUGCUGACCACAGAUGUUUGUGCAUAUGCAUUGAUUGCAUUUAUCUGUAAAGUUACAAUCCUUAUGCAUUCAAAGCUUCUGGUAUUAGGAGUCUGCUUGUUAUUCUUCAUCUGUGUUCUGCAGGGCUCUGUUAAGCCAAUUUCCACUUCCUUCUCUGCUGCAUACUGCUCUGUAUCUUCCUGUGCCUUGCACCUAGUUGGAAAGCUGCUGCAGCACUGGGUCUGGCUGCCCAGCUGUGCUUGUGGGAAAUGCAUGGCUUCCUUGGGGACUGCUUGCUGGUGAUAGUGAAGCAGCAGGCUGAGGACACAGUCUCCUUAGCAAUCCAGAACAGGUCAUGGUUUCUCUGUGCCUCCCUAAAAGGAUGUAUGUUUUCUGUAGGCAUAUUGAGGCAGAGGAUAUGAGUUCCAAGGAAGCAACUUUUUUUACCCUUUGUCUUCUGAAUGGGUAGGGGAGAGGAAGAACUCUAAAAACCUAAAAGGUGAAGGUGUCGUAAGACCAGUGAGGAUCUAAGUUUGAAAUUAGGUGUUUCCUGGUUACUCUGAAGCUAAGACAUCAAACAGCCUCCAGAAGGGUCAGUGUGAGGUAGAUAUAAGAAGCUGAAUUGGUCAGUGGUGAGACUUUUAUUAUUUUCUUUAUGUGGACUGGUUGUGAAAUAAUGCUGUCUGCUGCCAGGGCUUGAACUGGUAGCUAAGGAAGUCCCUCACUGGUGUGUGGGCCUGUAUGGGCACCAUGCAGCAUCCUUCCUUGUUCCAUGUUGUUGCUGUGGCCUUGAAUACUGCCCUGCUUUUUGAGAUGAAAACAGAUCAAGGACUGUGAAAGCCAAAGCUUGCAAACAGUCUAAGCUUAAUCUAACUUCUCCUGUGAAUGGCAUCUGGGACAAAAGGGAAAGAUGUGAGGGAAAGGGAAGGUUUUGGCUGCAAAGUGGAGCAGCAUGACUUCCUUUAUUCAGAGCUUUGUUGGUCAAGCAAGGCUGUGAUUGCUGUUCUUGCUUCUCAGCCAGCUUCUUUCGCUGGAAACUUCAGUCAACUUCUCUGCCUUCAGUAAGUAACAGCUAUCUCAAGACUUGUGGGAAGGAUGGAUGGAAGCAUGCUCUUCCUUUCAGACUCAGUGGGUACACGGGACUCAUUUGCAUCUUGCAGGCAUAUGCUCAUUGCAAUAUACAGAGAGCUGACCCAGCACUGUUUCCUUGGCACAGUGAGAGGGAAGGUAGACACAAAGGAAGCAAAAGAGAAGGGAUUUGUGUGGCAGGUGUAUGCAACCAGUGUGCCUUUGCCAGCAGCAUAAAGGUGUUCCUUGAGCACAAAAGGAGUGGGGCUGGUAACACGCUUCAGGCAACUGUCUGCUCAGCCCUGUGGUGGAGCUGCUGUUGUUCAGGCUUCUCCACACGCUUGAUGGACACCCCUGCCUGUGAGCAGCCCCCAGAAACAAAUAGUUCAGGGAGGAAAAGGUAACCUGCAUUAAGUUUGAGGCCACAAUGCAAAUAAGUGACAUGGUUUGUGAUGUCACGUUCUGGUGAUAUUUCUCCAUCUGUGCCUAGAUAGUGCUGAGUAUGACUACCAUACAGCAGAAAAACAUACUUGAGGGGAAAUAUAUAUGUGAAAGGUGUCUGAGCCUGACAGGCCUGAUGAGACUGCAGCAGAGAUAUGGCUACAGAGCAUGUUCUUGUCUCCUGGAUACUCCCACGGCUCUUCAGAAGCACUCUGAACAGCCACAAGUAGGCUGUGAAACCACACAGACAAAUAUCCAUCACUGGAAAACACCACUGAUCUACAGACAAGCUUGGUUCUGACGGACUCUAUUGUGCCCCGCACCAGACUCCAGAACAUCUGUGUCAUGGGAUGACACCUCUCUGCUGGGGAAGUCUGUUCAAAUUUCUGUUCAGAUCCUCAGAUGCUGCUCCAAGAGAGAUGGCAGUGCAAAUGUAUGUUGUGAACUUGUUCCAAGUCGUACAGAUGUGAACAUUUCUCCAUGAAACCAGAGCUGGAUGCUGAAAUGUCCUGGGCAGACUGUGCAGUAACAUAACCUGUAACAUACAUACUAGCCUCUUGGGGCAGACCACCAAGACUACCAGUACCUUCUUUUCAAAAGCAUCUAAGACUACUGUGCUUCAAAUGAACAAAGUAGAGAACCGGACCACUGCCCCAUCCCCCAAGAAAAGAUCACCCUGAAGCCUUGGAAAGAAGACUUACCGAGAAGCCAACCUCAGAAAAAGACCUCAAAAAAAUUCCAGGUUCAUGAAACAUUUCUCAGAAGGCAAGAAACAAUCCCCUGCCUCCCUCCCUGUGUUUAAACAAGGCUGAGCGGAUGGGCAAGAUGCAGCUUGACAGAGAACUUAUGUGCACUGCUAUUAAGCUGACAGAAGCCAGCAACUUCCACCUAUGCCUGCAGUGAACCAGGACUGGGAUGAUGCCCUAGCAACAGCAAAGCAAGGCCUGAGCAAGAAGAAACAGAUGUUACUGUCUCAUCAAGAAGAUGAACUUGAUCAUGAAAAGCCAUGCUUCCAUUUCUCAACUCUUCCUCUCCCUGGAUGGAGACCUCUGUCCCCUUUGCCUAUGUUGUAAUAGGAAGAUCUUGUUGGUAGCUCAGGCUCCAGUUUUGUAGGCUCAUGCAAGAGGAUGGCACUACCACCAAGAAAACUUCCGUUCCUAGAACCAGGAGCGCUGGUCCAGACCCAUGAGAUUUCAUCUUCUAAGCCCCUCUGGCUAAUUGCAAGGUGCUAUAGGCAUAGGAUUGCACCUCGGGAAAUGAAGAAUCUCAGACCUUCAGAAUCCACUCUUAGGUGGAUCUCAUGUUGCUCAGGAAAAAAUGACAUGAGAUUUACACAUUCUGUUACCACUUCCCAGGGUUGCAGCAUCACGCAGCAAAACAGCACAGAGAAAAGUGCCAUGUCCCAUGCUUGCUAGCUGUUUCUUGUGUUGGCUGCUCAGCCUAACAACCGUGCAGAGCUGUCCUUUGCACUCCUACCGUACAGCUGUUAGUAUAGCAUUUUCUAAUUGAUUUUACUCAAUUAACACUUGCUAAUUAAUUUCUAUUAAUUACCUCUCAUUUAGAGACCUGCACAGGCACAGCUAUAAAUCUCCGCACAGCACACUUUCAUGAAUGGCAGUCUGUGUACAAUUAGCAGCAGUUUUUGCCACUCAGAAUUGCCUCUGGCAGGAGAAGGUGUUGAUGAACCCACUGUGCUGGACUCAUGUAGCAUGUGAAGGUGUGUGUUGCAGCUCAGGGGAGUGGGGGCUGUUAGCGUGGGCUGCUGGGAGCCACGUGCUGUCAGUGUGACUGUCCAACAGCGUGCUUGUAACUCCCAUGUCAAUCUGCAUUGCUGUACCUGUGGAUAACCUUGGCCUAGAUGCAGACUUUAUCAUCAUUUCUGAGAAAAUUAUGUUGUUAAUACAUCAUCUGUAAUCAAUAGGCCAUGGCCUUCAUUCAGGAAGACACUUAGGAGCAUGGCUAAUAUCCAUUAUGCAGUCUGGUACCUUUAUGGUGGUUAUUUUUUUUAAGAGCCUGGUAUUCCAUUUAAAAUUGGAUUUGUACUAAACUGAGGCUUUAUGCCUACAGAGGACAUCAGCCAAGACCUGACCAUGAGGUGCCAUGUGCUUACAGUGUAAGGAUGACUUUGAAGCUGGUAAACGCUUACAAGACCUGCUCCAAAAGUAUUUCCUCCUGUCCUAUGAUGUUGGUCUACAACAUCAAAACAGAUGUUGGUGGUAUGGCAGUAGAGACUGAACCUCCCUGCCAAUAUCCCAUUACAUUUUGUCACCAUGUGUUGGAUUGCAGCAGAUGGUAAAUCUGACAUGGAAGUGCACAUGAAGAUGAAGGCUGGAAUUGAAUUUCCUCCUUGGAGAAAAAAAAAAAAAAGAAGGCACUUACUGACAUUCAUUGACAUUUGCUGAAUGUUUUUGAAGACCAAACAGUGGACAUGAGCACCGUGAGGUGUUGAGUGGUGCAUUUCAACAGUGGUAAUGGUGACGUGAAAGACAAGCCAUGUUCUGGAUGUCUGUGCACUGCUGUCACCACAAAAUGAAGAGUGUUUUGAUCUGCUCAUCCAAGCAAUGUGGCAGAUUAUGACCAGGGAACUCUAAGGAAAGAAAUGCUGACUUCAGUGUGUUGGAAAUGAUGGUGGCAAUGUUGCAGUAUUGCAAAGUUUGCACCAGAUGGAUCCCACAGAUGUUCACACUGGAACAGAAAGAACACCACAUGCACAUUUGUCAGACCUAUUGAACCAAUGCAAGGCUGAAAGUGACAGUUUGCUGGAUCACAUCUUUACCAGUGGCAAGACACAGUAUCACCAUUAUGGGCUGGAGUCAGAACAGCAGUUCAUGGAGUGGCAUAUGUGAAUUCCUCCUUGAAGACAAAGUUAAAGAUGCAGCUCUCAGUGAGUAAAGAGGUGAUCUUUCUGAAUUUUCUGGAACCUGAACAAAUCAUCAGUCCUAACUGCUACAUUGCAAUGCUGACUAAGCUGAAGGUUUGAACAUCCAGAGUCAGGACAGAGAAGAUGACAAUAUUUCUUUUGCAACAUGAUAACACCAGGCCCCAUAGUAGUUUGAAGACCAUGGAGCACAUUACCAAUCCUAUUACACUCACUGUAUAGUCCAGAUUUGGCAAUUUCUGACUAUCGUUUGUUUGGGCCAAUGAAAGAUAGACUGCAUGGGCAUCGUUUUCCUAAUAACAAUGCCAUCAUACCAGCUGUGAAGCCACGGGUCACAUCCUCUGGUAUGCAUGAGCAUGGCACAUAGACUCUUGUCAUUGCUGGUGAAAAUACACAGCUAAUGGUGAUGACUUUGUUGAAAAAUAGUGUUUUGUAGCUGAAAAUUUGCUCUACUAAAUAGUGUUAUUGUUCUCUUUGCAUCUGUUGUCAUUUCCAUGGAAAUAGAUAGAAGGCAUUACAUUCAGAUCAACCUACAUAACAUGGAAAAAGAAAUACUAAUGCAUAGUGCAAGUCAACAGACGGGAGAGAUCACCAUCAGUGCACAUCGUGAAUGAAUCCUUACUAGGCCCUAUUUGAUGUUUUUUCUUGAAAGACAUUUUUGUUGUUAAUAAUCUUUGAUUUUAUUUCAGCAUGAUUCUUUCUAUUUUAAGGAUCUGUUAAGAAUUGUUAGUAAGUAAUUGUUCAUUAGGAUUAUAUCUGAGUUUUGUUUAUUUUUAAUUCUGUUCAGGUUGGGUAGUUUUAAAUCAGAUUAAUACUUAUCUUCUUACUUCACUAAUUGUUGCAUAUUCUGUUCAGUUACAUAUCUUAAAAACAUUUGUUUGUGGGGUGGCCCAGGCCAAGCCUCACUGAGCUGAGCCUGACUUCCACAUCAGACUGGUAGCCAUGCUGCACUCCCUUUCAAAAUGGCAGGGAGCUGAUGUUAAGGAAUGGACCUCAGGGCACGGGCUGGAUGAAGCUGUAAGAAGCUCCUGUACUCCUACAGCACUGCAGCAUCAGGCUGCUUUUUAAUUUAGUCAGGCAUCCCACUUGGAGGAUGAAAAUGCUGAAGGAAAGGGAACCUCCAUGGGCUGUGGGUGAUGAGGCCACCGGAAUGGAGUUUGGACAAUACAAGAGGGAAUAAAUGUGAAAGGCUCAGAGGCUCUUGCUGCAGCUGGAAGUGGCUUGCACUGACCCUGAUGAGAGCACUGUGGUGCUGUGUGCUGGGCAGCAGUCACCAUAUUUCAGCUGCCACCAGCUGUUGGGCAUACAUAAUGUGGAAGACAAAGCUAGAAAAGAAUCACAGUGCCACGAGGGUUUUCCAGCCCCCUAAAUGGCUGCUCCUGCAAAGUGAGGAGACACCAGCCAAAAUCAGGCAGGAGGGACUAAUUCUGUAGAAGAGGAAUGGCUUUGUCUUUAAUUAUGACAGCCUUCAGAGCUCUCUCAGUGCUGGAAUUUGUCUUAAAAAUGGGGAAAAAGAGAAUCUGCCUGUAUUAAUAUUUUCCCAAGCUUAUUUAAGGACACCUAGAAUUGACAAUAGAUCUGAUUGCUUUUAUUUGGUCAUGAAGCUAGGAAAGCCUGACAUAGAUGGUCAUGAAGUCAUAUAUUCUUCAUAGUUUAUGAAUUAUCUUGUGAACAUAUGGAAUACGUGUCAUUAUUUCAACUCCCAGUGCUGGAAACUGUGCAAAUAAAUGACUGAGUCAGAAGGUGAAUCAGUGUAAGUUAGCUCUACUGCCAGUUGCUUAAGAGCACAGUCAUGACAGGCAAUUACUUGGCUAAUUAGAGUAGAACUUUGAACACUGAAAUAAUAGAACCAUACAAUCAUUAAGGUUGGAAAAGACCACUAUGAUCAUCUUGUGCAACCACCAACCUAUCACCACCAUGCCUGCUAAACCAUGUCCCUCACUGCCACAUCUACAUGGUUCAUGAAGACCUCCAGGGAUGUGACUCCACCACUUCCCUGGGCAGCCUGUUCCAAUAACUCAACACUAUUUCUGAGAAGAAAUUCUUCCAGAUAUCCAACCUGAACCUCCCCUGGCACAACUUGAGGCCAUUCUCUGCUGUCGUAUUGCUAGUUACCUGCUAGUCUCUUCGACUGACCUCCACCUUGCUACAGCCUCCCUUUAGGGAAUUAUAGAGAGUGAUCUAUAGAGAGUAUGGAGUCUCCCCUGAGCUUCCUCUUCUCCAGAUUAAACAAUCCCCAUUCCCUCUGCCUCUCUUCAUAGGACUUGUGCUCCAAUUCUUCACCAGCUUUGUUGUUCUUCUCUGAAUACGCUCCAGGGCCUCAUUGUCUUUCUUGUAGUGAGGGGUCCAAAAGUGGACAUGGCACUUGAGGUGCAGCCUCAACAGUGCUGAGUACAGGGGAUGAUCACCUCCCUGCUCCUUCUGGCUACACUAUUUCUGAUAUAACUCAGGAUACCAUUGACUUUCUUGGCCAUCUAGGCACACUGCUGGCUCAUGUUCAGAUGAUUGUUGACUACCACCCCCAGGUCCUUUUCCUCCAUGCAUCUUUACAGCCACUCUGCCUCAAGCCUGUAGCAUUGCCUGGGGUUGUUAUGGACAAAGUGCAGGACCACACACUUGGUUGAGCUUCAUCCCAUUGGUCUCAGCCUAGAAUCAUAGAAUCACCAAGAUUGGAAAAGACCUCUGAGAUCAUGCAGUCCAACUGUGCACACAUCACCAAUAUUUCCCACUAAACCAUGUCCCUCAGUACAACUUCUAAACAUCCCUUGAACACCUCCAGGCAUGGUGACUCCAUCACCUCCCUAGGCAGCCUGAUACAGUGCCUGACCACUCUCUUGGGGAAGAAGCAUUUCCUAAUGUCCUGAAUCUCCCCUGGCACAACUGCAGGCUAUUCCCUCUUGUCUUAUUGCCAGCUAAUGGGAGAAGAGGCCGACUGCCCACCUCACCACAACCUCCCUUCAGGGAGUUUUAGAGAGUGAUAAGGUCUCCCCUGAGCCUCCUCUUCUCCAGACUGAACAAUCCCAGUUCCCCCAGCUGCUCCUCAUGAGGCUUCUACUCCACAUCCCUCACCAACUUUGUUGCCCUUCUCUGGACAUGCUCCAGGGCCUUGAAGCCUUUCUUGUAGUAAGACAGCCCAAAACUGAACACAGUACUUGAGGUACAACCUAUUGAUCCAGCCAGUCCAGAUCUCCCUGGAGGGCCUUCCGAACAUCAAGCAGAUGUACACUUCACCCAGACUGGUGUCUGCAAACUUGCUGAAGAUGUACUCAAUCCCCUCAUCCAGAUCAUCAGUAAAGAUAUUGAACAGGACAGGCACCAAUACCAACCCCUGGGGAACACCACUUGCAACCAGUAACCAGCUGGGUUUAGCUUUGUUCACCACCACUCUCUGGUCCCAGCCCUCCAGCCAGUAUUUCACCCAAUGAAGAGUCCACCUCUGCAAGCCAUGGGCUGCCAGCUUCUCUAGGACAAUACUGUGGAAAAUGGUUAAAGGCUUUGCUGAAGUCUAGGUAGAUCACAUCCACAGCCCUUUCCAGAUACACCAGGUGGAUCACCUGGUUGUAGAAGGAGAUCAGGUGGUCAAGCAGGACCUGCCUUUCAUGAACCCAUGUUGGCUUGGCCUGAGCUCCUGGUUGUCCUGCACACGCUGAGUGAUUGCACUCAAGAUGAUCUGCUCUGUGACUUUCCUUACACCAAAGUCAGGCUGACAGGCCUGUAGUUCUCUGGAUUCUCCUUCUGACCCUUCUUGUAGGUGGGUGGAACAUUGUCAAGUCUCUCGUGGUCUGGGACCUCCCUGGUUGGCCAUGACUGCUGCUAAAUGAUGGAGAGCAGCUUGGCAAUAACUUCUGGCAGCUCCCUCAGUAGCCUCAGGUAGAUCACAUCUGGACCCAUGGAUUUGUUGACAGUCCAUGUGAAGUAGCAUGUCAGUAACUCUUUCUUCCUGAACUGUGAGGGAAUUCCUUCUGAAAUGCAGCAUUUUCAAAUGAGCUUACCAGAAUUAAGUGCCUAGUGUCCUUCUGCUGUCUAUGAGAGGUGGGUACACCUUUCCUUUAAAUGCUCAGCUUAGCAGAAUGCCCAAGGCAAUUUAUUCAGAAGCUGAGGGAGCAGCAUUUCCAGUGGGUGUCUGGGCAGCAUACUCUUGCAGAAGGACAGAAUACCUCUAGACCAUGCAUGUCCAGUCUGAUACCUUUAUGUUUCCGUUGCCCUUGUCUUUUAAUGUUUUAAUAACUAAAAUAUAUAUAUAUAUAUAAUUUUGUUACUUAUGUACGUUAACUAUUUAUUUUAUAUGUGGCCCACACCUUUCCUGCAUUAACUAUUUUUUUUAUAUGUGGCCCAAGCAAUUCGUCUUCACUCAGUGUGGCCCAGCCAAGCCAAAAGGUUGGGCACCUAUAACUUUGGCCUGAACCAGGUCCAGCUGAUGUUCUCUUCACUGGAGAGUGCAUGUUGGAAGAGGUGGCAUCUGAUUCAGAGUCUUUGCCAACACUAUUUUGAAAGGACACAUAAAUGUAAGAGAAAUGACACUGCUGCCCCUUAAAAUGCUCAGCAGGCAAUUAGUCCUGUGCAAAAGUUCAGACAGAAUUAGGAUGGCUUCCCUUUGCUCCACUGAUAAGCAAAGUAACUUGUUUAUCCUUGGAAAGGUUGCCUGGCAUUACUUGAAAGAUAAGCUGCAUAUUGAAAGUGCUCAACCCAAGAACUUCUUUGCAGAACAUGCAGUUGUGUCCUUGACUGCAGCAGCCACUACCCAUCUUUGCAGCUGACUGAAUUCCCCCUUGCCUAUCUUUCCUGGGGAGAGAGCAUGGACUUUUGCUGUGGAUGUCAACUGGGCAAGAGUUAAACACUGCCAUGGAGCUGUUGUCUCACCUUUGAAAAUGUAGUGGGAGAUAUGUACCUCUGCUCUUGUAAAGAAUCCCGUUUUCUUGCUGGCAGCACAGCCUGCUCCAAUUAGAAAACAAGAUCUGAAACAAGGCCUGGAGUCGGUCUGUCCCCUGCUGUGUCAGUGGCACUGUUGCUGCUUUUGUGAUGAAUUCCUGUAUACAAAACCCAGGCAGUGCAGAGCUGGGAGUAGCAGUUGAUUCACUGGAGGGCCAUGCUGCCAUUCAGAAAGACCUCGACAGGCUGGAGAAAUGAGCCCACAGGAACCUCCGUCAGCUCAACAAAAGGAAAUGCCAAAUCCUGAACCAGGGGAGGAACAAACCCAGGCACUACUACAGGAUGGGGAACCCCCAGCGGGAAGACAGCUGGAAGAGGAAAGACCUUAGGAUCUUGGUGGAUGCCAAGUUGAACAGGAGCCAGCAGUGUGCCUUUGUGGCACAUCCUCAGCAUUAGAGGAAUUGUUGCCAGCAGGUGGAGGGAGAUGAUCCUCUUUCCACUCAGCUCUGGUGAGAUGCAGCUGGGCUCCCAGUACAGGAGGCACAUGGACACUCUGAAAUGUGCCAAAUGAAGGAUCAAGAGCAGCAUGAAGAUUGGAUCAUUUAGCUUAUGAGAAGAGGCUGAGAGAGCUGGAGUUAUUUAGACUGGAGUAGGGAAGGCUGGAGUUAGUGGAGGACUUAUCAAUGGGCACAAAAUAAAACACAGGAAAUUCCAUUUCGAAAUACAAAAUCCCUUACUGUAGUGGUCAAACACCGGAAUAGGUUGCUCAGAGAAACUCUGGAGACUCUACUCUUGGAAAUAUUAAAAACCCUACCAGAUGUGGUACUGAGCAGAGUGUUUGGACUAGACAGUCUGCAGAGCACCCUUCUGACCUCAGUGGUUCUGUGAUUUUAUUCCCAGUUUUAUUCCCAGUUUACAGCCAGUUGUUAACAUCAAAUAAAUUACUCAGCUACCAAUGAGUUGAAAUGACCCGCUAAAGAACUAAACUGAUUCUGUUUAGAGUGAAGGCCUACUGGACUGGAGUGGAUUUGUUGAGCCAGACAGGUCUGUCAACUGGAUAAACUGUCUUCUUCCUUUUACUCUGAGCUCCUCCCUUUGGCACACUCUGAGCAAUAGAACGUGCGAAAGCCAGUAUCCAGAGUUUAUGGUCUCUAGGUCUAGGAACUGUUUUUGUUAUAUGAAUAACAAAUGGAAGAGUGAGGCUGUAGCAAGAUCUUGGUAUAUCAGGUCAGAAUCUCUUCAGUUAUCAAGCAAUAUCUUAUUCUCUGGCUUUGGCUGGAGUGAGCACAUUUUUUUAGGGUUCAUGCCACAAGGUGUAGAGAACUGGCUACAGAUAUCAAUUUAAGCUAUUUUAUGGAAGAAGAAAGCAGUGUGUGAUGAAAAGCUAGGCCAGUGUUAUGAAUAUGUGCUAUAGCUUGUGCUGUUGAUCUAAUAGAAAUUCUGCUUGUUUUUCCAAAGCCUAUUAGAACUUAGAAGCUGGGAUUUCAAGGUGUUAUUCUGUUAGUGAUAGAGAGAGGAUGGAACUGAAAUCCUCUCACUUUUUUUCAUGACACUGUGGGAAAUAAUUUCAAGUUUUGAUUGGGUCUGAGGAAGAAGGCAAGGAGGUCUCAAAGGUCAGGCUGUGAUCAUUAGAAUCUAGGAGGUCUCCCAGGGGUACAGGCAAGUUAAGGGCUCUGCAAAACUAAGGUCACAACUAAGUAUGGGCUGCCUGGGGAUAAACUAAUACCUUAGAAAAUGGACUGGAAUGGAGACCAUCCAGCUUCUGCAUUGGAAGGCUUUGUACUUCCUAGGCUAAUCUAGCCUUGAGUGAACCAAAAGUAAUAAGAAGUUCCUUGAUCAUCUGUUGUUCUAGGCUUUCCUGUUAUGGUGUUUUCUUUAAGAUUGUCUCUAUUUCUUUUUGCUCUAUACUGAGAUACUUGAGCCAGUGGCAUGGGAGUACUAGUGACAGGGUGGAUUUGUCAAUUAAGCAUCUAAAAAGCUUCAGUAAAGAUCUGUGAAAACAUGA